CGUUUUUCCUCUUCAAUCAUUCCUCUCUCUCUCUCUCUAAAUUCUCUUUCACUGCACUAAAAUCCCCUACGUAAAUUCAACUUCACAAUUUUUCAAGGGUUAUCCGAAGGUGGUGCUUAAUUCGUUGUUUGAUCACUUCAUGCUUAAUAUUGUUUAUCUUGGUUUUGAAGACUCAAAUAGCAACAAGGUCGUGACCUGGAAAAGAAGAAGACUAAGAAGUUAAGGAUAACGCAAAGUCGCGUGGUUGAGAAUGUGGAACACCGUCGUCGUCGACUGUUGGCUUCUCAGUUCCGGCGUUUCCUCCUUUACCUCCACUUCCAAGUUGUAUUUUCAGGCCAAUUUUUCUCGAACCGCCCACUUUGGUAGCAACCCAAUUCGAGCUUCCGCCACCAUCAACGGUUCAAGUGAAGGUGUUAUUUACGAAGCGUUAUCAUGUGGAAGGAGAGCCUUACUAUCUAUGAUUACCUUGUCUCUUGUUAUGCCGUGUAAUAGAGUUAACAACAGCGUUGUUGCCAUUGCUGCUGUUGAGAACUUUCGAUUAAGGGAAGAGAUCAGGAAGGUAUUAUCCAAGGGCAAGGCUGCUGGUGUACUUCGCCUUGUAUUCCAUGAUGCAGGAACUUUUGAAAUUGAUGAGAAAAUUGGUGGUAUGAAUGGCUCUAUAGUAUUUGAACUCGACAGACCUGAAAACAAAGGCCUUAAGAAAUCUCUAAAGAUUCUGGAGAAAGCGAAGAGUCAAAUAGAUCUUGUGCAAUCAGUCUCAUGGGCUGAUAUAAUAGCUUUGGCUGGAGCUGAAGCUGUUUCAUUAUGUGGUGGACCUAGUAUCCCCAUUCAGUUGGGAAGAAUUGAUUCACUGGUGCCGGAUCCUGAAGGAAAACUUCCUGAAGAAUCACUUGAUGCCACUAGUUUGAAGCAAUGUUUUGAAAGGAAAGGCUUCUCGUGGAUGUAUGAUGCAGGAUUGCCUUUCAAUUGUGUUAACUACACCGAAAGUUUUGGUGAAUUCAUUGAGGCAGUAGGCCAAUAUGGCCUUGGAAUGAAGCCCCCCACCUAUCAUGAGGUAAGAGUUUCUUGUUUAAAAAAAGAGGUGGAAAAGACAAACAAAAUUGUAGAAGAUCAUAAGGUUCAGUGGAAAACGUAUGGUUGUUCCAUUAUGAUGGAUAAAUGGACAGUAAGGAAUGGGAAAAUGAUCAUCAAUGUUUUGGUGAAUUUUCCAAAAGGGAGUGUGUUCCUUGAAUCUCAUGAUGCUAAUGACUCUUCUACUGAUUCUAAUAAGAUGUUUAACUUGUUUGAGAAGACUAUCUUGAAAAUAGGCAAGGAAAAUGUGGUACAAGUUGUGACUGAUAAUGCAAGUGAGAACAAAAAAGUGGGUGACAUGUUGAAGGGAGUGUUCCCACAUAUUUUCUGGACUCCUUGUGCUGCUCACUGUAUCAACUUGAUGUUUGGUGACAUUUUCAAAGAGGCCCCGUAUUCUACAGAACUCAGGAACUUGUUGCGUUGUCUGGCGCGCAUACUCUGGGAAGUAAAGGGUUUGGGAAUCCAACUGUCUUCGAUAAUGCAUACUUCAAGAUACUCAUGGAGAAGCCAUGGUUGUCCUCAGGCGGCAUGACUAGUAUGGUUGGACUUCCCUCUGAUAGGGCACUUGUUGAAGAUGAUGAAUGUGUAGGAUGGAUAUCAAAGUACGCUGAGGACGAGAGUUUAUUUUUUGAUGAUUUCAAGAAUGCCUAUACCAAACUUGUUGACACUGG